rnacentral:rRNA from 1 species
UACGUAGGGUGCAAGCGUUGUCCGGAAUUAUUGGGCGUAAAGGGCUCGUAGGCGGUCCAUCGCGUCGGGAGUGAAAACUCAGGGCUCAACCCUGAGCGUGCUUCCGAUACGGGCAGACUAGAGGUAUGCAGGGGAGAACGGAAUUCCUGGUGUAGCGGUGAAAUGCGCAGAUAUCAGGAGGAACACCUGCGGCGAAGGCGGGUAGCUGGGCCGACACUGACGCUGAUGCGCGGAAAGCCAGGGGAGCGAACGGG